AUAUUCAUGUUUACAUACUUGAGGGGCAACCCAACAAAAGGUGGAUGCCACCCCACCAUACAUACAAUGACGGGUUUGAUAAGCGUAGCAGACCAAAGGCCCCAGAGACUGCGGCCUUGGUUCUGCUACAAGAAGGUGCAGUUCAUUCGGUAAUGAUCCUUCCGCAGGUUCACCUACGGAAA
rnacentral:misc_RNA from 1 species